rnacentral:rRNA from 1 species
AGGGCUCCGCAGGCGGUUUUUUAAGUCUGAAUGUUGAAAAGCCCCCGGCUCAACCGGGGAGGGUCAUUGGAAACUGGGAAACUUGAGUGCAGAAGAGGAGAGUGGAAUUCCACGUGUAGCGGUGAAAUGCGUAGAGAUGUGGAGGAACACCAGUGGCGAAGGCGACUCUCUGGUCUGUAACUGACGCUGAGGAGCGAAAGCGUGGGGAGCGAACAGGAUUAGAUACCCUGGUAGUCCACGCCGUAAACGAUGAGUGCUAAGUGUUAGGGGGUUUCCGCCCCUUAGUGCUGCAGCUAACGCAUUAAGCACUCCGCCUGGGGAGUACGGUCGCAAGACUGAAACUCAAAGGAAUUGACGGGGGCCCGCACAAGCGGUGGAGCAUGUGGUUUAAUUCGAAGCAACGCGAAGAACCUUACCAGGUCUUGACAUCCUCUGACAACCCUAGAGAUAGGGCUUUCCCUUCGGGGACAGAGUGACAGGUGGUGCAUGGUUGUCGUCAGCUCGUGUCGUGAGAUGUUGAGUUAAGUCCCGCAACGAGCGCAACCCUUGAUCUU